CCUACGGGAGGCUGCAGUGGGGAAUAUUGGACAAUGGGGGCAACCCUGAUCCAGCCAUGCCGCGUGUGUGAAGAAGGCCCUCGGGUUGGAAAGCACUUUCAGUGAGGAAGAACGCCUGGUGGUUAAUACCCAUCAGGAAAGACAUCACUCACAGAAGAAGCACCGGCUAACUCCGUGCCAGCAGCCGCAGUAAUACGGAGGGUGCGAGCGUUAAUCGGAAUUACUGGGCGUAAAGCGCGCGUAGGUGGCUUGAUAAGCCGGUUGUGAAAGCCCCGGGCUCAACCUGGGAACGGCAUCCGGAACUGUCAAGCUAGAGUGCAGGAGAGGAAGGUAGAAUUCCUGGUGUAGCGGUGAAAUGCGUAGAGAUCGGGAGGAAUACCAGUGGCGAAGGCGGCCUUCUGGACUGAAACUGACACUGAGGUGCGAAAGCGUGGGUAGCAAACAGGAUUAGAUACCCUGGUAGUC
rnacentral:rRNA from 1 species